AUUGAACGCUGGCGGCAGGCCUAACACAUGCAAGUCGAACGAGUGGCGGACGGGUGAGUAAUGUAUGGGAAACUGCCUGAUGGAGGGGGAUAACUACUGGAAACGGUAGCUAAUACCGCAUACCAUCAGAUGUGCCCAGAUGGGAUUAGCUUGUUGGUAGGGUAACGGCUCACCAAGGCGACGAUCCCUAGCUGGUCUGAGAGGAUGACCAGCCACACUGGAACUGAGACACGGUCCAGACUCCUACGGGAGGCAGCAGUGGGGAAUAUUGGACAAUGGGCGAAAGCCUGAUGGAGCAAUGCCGCGUGUGUGAAGAAGGUUUUCGGGUUGUAAAGUACUGUCAGCGGGGAGGCGGUACCUAACCAGAAAGCACCGGCUAACUCCGUGCCAGCAGCCGCGGUAAUAC
rnacentral:rRNA from 1 species